rnacentral:rRNA from 1 species
AUAGGUGGGAGGCUUUGAAACCAGGACGCCAGUUUUGGCGGAGCCAUCCUUGGGAUACCACCCUUGUAGUACUGGGACUCUAACCAUAGGCCAUGAAUCUGGUCUUGGGACACUGUCAGGUGGGCAGUUUGACUGGGGCGGUCGCCUCCCAAAAGGUAACGGAGGCGCGCAAAGGUUCUCUCAGUACGGUCGGAAAUCGUACGUAGAGUGUAAAGGCAAAAGAGAGCUUGAUUGCAAGACAUACAGGUCGAGCAAGGAUGAAAAUCGGACUUAGUGAUCCGGUGGUUCUGCGUGGAAGGGCCAUCGCUCAACGGAUAAAAGCUACCCUGGGGAUAACAGGCUUAUCUCCCCC